rnacentral:rRNA from 1 species
AUUGAACGCUGGCGGCAGGCCUAACACAUGCAAGUCGAGCGGAUGAAGGGAGCUUGCUCCUGGAUUCAGCGGCGGACGGGUGAGUAAUGCCUAGGAAUCUGCCUGGUAGUGGGGGAUAACGUCCGGAAACGGGCGCUAAUACCGCAUACGUCCUGAGGGAGAAAGUGGGGGAUCUUCGGACCUCACGCUAUCAGAUGAGCCUAGGUCGGAUUAGCUAGUUGGUGGGGUAAAGGCCUACCAAGGCGACGAUCCGUAACUGGUCUGAGAGGAUGAUCAGUCACACUGGAACUGAGACACGGUCCAGACUCCUACGAGAGGCAGCAGUGGGGAAUAUUAGACAGUGGGCGAAAACCUGGUCCAGCCAUGCCGCGUGUGUGAAGAAGGUCUUCGGAUUGUAAAGCACUUUAAGUUGGGAGGAAGGGCAGUAAGUUAAUACCAUGCUGUUUUGACGUUACCAACAGAAUAAGCACCGGCUAACUUCGUG